rnacentral:rRNA from 1 species
UUAAGUGAAGAGUUUGAUCAUGGCUCAGAUUUGACGCUGGCGGCAGGCCUAACACAUGCAAGUCGAGCUGCAGCGGAAAGUAGCUUGCUACUUUGCCGGCGAGCGGCGGACGGGUGAGUAAUGUCUGGGAAACUGCCCGAUGGAGGGGGAUAACUACUGGAAACGGUGGCUAAUA